GGUUCGAUGGCGUAGUUGGUUAUCGCAUCUGUCUAACAUCAACUCAAAGUCGGAUGAUUCACAGAAGGUCCCCAGUUCGAGCCUGGGUCGAAUCA